rnacentral:rRNA from 1 species
GCGGGAAAACUCCCCAGGUCCAGACAUAGGAAGGAUUGACAGAUUGGAUGAUAGUCUCUUUCUUGAUUCUAUGGGUGGUGGUGCAUGGCCGUUCUUAGUUGGUGGAGUGAUUUGUCUGGUUAAUUGCGAUAACGAACGAGACCUUUGCUUGCUAAAUAGAGAAGACUAACUUGUUGGUCUAUCACUUCUUAAAAGGACUUUGCUUGUCUAAUGCAUGGAAGUUGGAGGCAAUAA